UAGUCCACGCCGUAAACGAUGAAUACUAGGUGUAGGGGGUGUCGACCCCCCUGUGCCGCAGCUAACGCAAUAAGUAUUCCGCCUGGGGAGUACGACCGCAAGGUUGAAACUCAAAGGAAUUGACGGGUCCCCGCACAAGCAGCGGAGCAUGUUGUUUAAUUCGAAGCAACGCGAAGAACCUUACCAGGACUUGACAUCCUCAGAAUUCUGUAGAGAUACGGAAGUGCCUUUUUGGAACUGAGUGACAGGUGGUGCAUGGUUGUCGUCAGCUCGUGUCGUGAGAUGUUGGGUUAAGUCCCGCAACGAGCGCAACCCCUAUGUUUAGUUGCCAGCAUUAAGUUGGGGACUCUAGACAGACUGCCGGUGAUAAACCGGAGGAAGGUGGGGACGACGUCAAAUCAUCAUGCUCCUUAUGUCCUGGGCUACAAACGUGCUACAAUGGCCAUUACAGAGGGCAGCCACUCCGCGAGGAGGAGCGAAACCCGAAAGGUGGUCUCAGUUCGGAUUGGGGGCUGCC
rnacentral:rRNA from 1 species